UACGCGCAUGCGUGGACCGAUCGGGCGAUAAAGCAAGAUGAGGUCAGACGGAGAAGUCCUUAACGCGCGCAUUAUAUUUCUGUAUUCUGACAUAUAUGUUGUUUAAUAGAGUACACACGGUUGAUAAUUGAUUGUAGCCGGAUACAUUAGUCUGAGCGCACUUUGACACUUCUCCUAAGGUAGCUUGCAGCUAGUUUAGCAGCUAGUUUAGCUGGCUAGUUAGCUUAGCUUGUUAGCUGCUAACAAAGAGACGCGGAAGUUAUUUAAACAUCGCUAAGUAGGGAACUAAUGUGAGUGUAAAGUGUUGUGAUUGUGUGAACAUGUGCUAAAGAACGAUGGCAAAGUACGAGGAGGAACUUUGGCCAACAAAAGAGGCGAAGGAGCGUCAACAUCAACUAUCCAUCCAUCCAUCUCCUACCGCUUAUUCCCUUUUGGGGUCGCGGGGGGCGCUGGCGCCUAUCUCAGCUACAAUCGGGCGGAAGGCGGUGUACACCCUGGACAAGUCGCCACCUCAUCGCAGGGCCAACACAGAUAGACAGACAACAUCCACACUCACAUUCACACACUAGGGCCAAUUUAGAGUUGUCAAUCAACCUAUCCCCAGGUGCAUGUCUUUGGAAGUGGGAGGAAGCCGGAGUACCCGGAGGGAACCCACGCAUUCACGGGGAGAACAUGCAAACUCCACACAGAAAGAUCCCGAGCCUGGAUUUGAACCCAGGACUGCAGGACCUUCGUAUUGUGAGGCAGACGCACUAACCCCUCUGCCACCGUGAAGCCAUCAACAUCAACUACUGGAUGUUUAUUAUAAGAAACAUCAUCAAGUUGUGUUACACAGAACAGAUGUCUGUGAAGAACAACUUCUGCCUGAAAAGCAGGAGUGUAGCCUCAGGAUGGUGAAGGAGGAUCCUACAAAGAGGACCCUCUGGCGUCUCCUUUUCCUCUUUGACACAGACCCUUCCUUGUAAAAAGGAAGAGGAAGACUCACUGAUCCCCCACAUUAAAAAGGAAGAGGAGGAACACAACAUCAGUCAGGAAGGAGAUCAUCUUGAAGGACUGGUGGAGUUCCCAGUGACUGGUGUCCCUGUGAAGAGUGAAGAUGAUGAGGUCAAAUACCAUAGUCAUCUGAAAAGUCUCGUGAGAACGCACACUGGAGAAAGACCUUUUUCCUGCUCAGAAUGUGGUAAAUGUUUUUCACGAAAAAAGGGGUUAAACGAACACAUGCUAAUACACACUGGAGAAAAACCUUGUUCCUGUUCACUCUGUAGUGAAGGUUUUACACAAAGUCAAAAUUUGAAAGUGCACAUGAGAACGCACACUGGAGAAAAAGCUUUUACCUGUUCAAGUUGUGGUAAAAGUUUUACUAGCAGUCAGAGUUUGAAAGCACACAUGAGAACACACACUGGAGAAAAGUCGUUUUUCUGCUCAGAAUGUGGUAAAUGUUUUACUCACAGUCGGAGUUUGAAAGUACACAUGAUAAUACACACUAGAGAAAAACCUUUUUCUUUUUCAAUCCGUGGUAAAGGUUUUACACAAAAAAAACUAAUUAAACAAAGACAUGCUAAUACACACUGGAGACAAAUGUUUUACCUGUUCAAUAUGUAGUAAAGGUUUUACAGAAAGUCAAUAUUUGAAAAGACACAAGAGAACACACACUGAUGAAAAAUCACAUUCCUGUUCAAUCUGCAACAGAAGCUUUUGUCAGCGAUCAAACCUUGUAGCACACAGAAGACACCCAGGAGAAAAAGUGUUGAGUUGCAGUGUGUGUGGUGAAAGAUUCUCUUCUAAGUACCAGUGUAAGAAACACAAGUGUGCUGGUGAGAACAGCAGCAGCAAAUGAAACUGCAGGAUUUGAAAUAAACUGCCAAGACUUUAAUGUUGACUUUCUAACAACAUCAGCACAUAUAACAUGUGUGACAUUGUUGUUUCUGUAACACAAUCUUGUUAACAUGCUUCUAUAUUUAUACACCAUUUGUUUCAGCCCAUUGCGUGCCUUAAUAUGCAACAUUUUUUACUUUUAUAUUAACAUAAAUUAUUGCAAGAGGAACAAUUUUAAAAAGGUCAGUAAAUCCAAAACAGUACAAAACAUGUGAUACAUGAAAAGUACAUUUAGUGUACAUAUAUUUUAUCCAUCCAUCCAUCCAUUUCCUACCGCUUAUUCCCUUUGGGCCCACGGGGGCUCUUGUGCCUACAUAUGUUUUAUACAAAAUAAUUUCCUUUUAAAACGUGUGACUGUAUGUGUAACAUUGGUAUUUUUGUAACACUAUUUUAAUAUGCUUCUACAUUUACAGAUUAGGUAUUUUGUAUUACUGUUUUUUUUUAGUCAAGUACAUGCAUUAAUAUGCAACAUUGUUUACUUUUAUUUAAAAUUGAACAGAACAAUUUGACUGAAAAGGUGAGAGUAAACAGUACAAUACAUAUUUUACAUACAUUAAAACAUUUAAGUAUAUAUAAUCAUCAUACAAUAUUAGACAUUCACAAUAGUGUUUUUUAUAGGUAUUUGAAAUAUUGAAGUGUGACAUAUUUUUAUUUCUAAUUAUUAAUCAUCUCAUAGAUAAGCACCUUUAUAUGAUAUACAUAUUUACUGGUUUACAUCUGAAACAUCUUCUGGACCACUUCAGGAAGCAUAUUAUUAUUUACUUUAUACAUCAUUUGAACAAUUGUCUUUUAUACAAUUUUAAAAUGUAUAAUUUAAUGAAUUAUUUGUUGGGUUUCUAGAAUCCAUUUAAUUAAUGAUCUUUAUUACUCUCUUUUGUAAUAUGAUGAUUGUGUUGUGAUUGUUUUAUAUGUAUGUCCCCAGACAUUUAUGCAAUAUAAAAGUGAGAGAAAAUGGCUGAAAUGUUUGUGGAAGGAUGGUUUUGUUUUUACAAACUUACAUUUGUGGAUAAAACCAAAACCCUCAAUUUUGUGUUUUAAAAAUGUUUUAUGUUUAACAUCCCCAAAACGGGUGCCGGGUGGCGGGGCUCUCCCUUAGAGAUAGGGUGAGAAGCUCUGCCAUCCGGGAGGAACUCAAAGUAAAGCCGCUGCUCCUUCACAUCGAGAGGAGCCAGAUGAGGUGGUUCGGGCAUCUGGUCAGGAUGCCACCCGAACGCCUCCCUAGGGAGGUGUUUAGGGCACGUCCAACCAGUAGGAGGCCACGGGGAAGACCCAGGACACGUUGGGAAGACUAUGUCUCCCGGCUGGCCUGGGAACGCCUCGGGAUCCCCCGGGAAGAGCUAGACGAAGUGGCUGGGGAGAGGGAAGUCUGGGUUUCCCUGCUUAGGCUGUUGCCCCCGCGACCCGACCUCGGAUAAGCGGAAGAUGAUGGAUGGAUGGAUGGAAGUUUGGAGUGUCAGGCCAACCCAAUAUAGCACAUCAUCCCACAGAGAUUUACUUUGCAUACAUUCCUAACUGUUAAUUUUGUUUCUCUUUCACAGAACGAACAAGUGUGGUCAUAAAUUGCAAAACAACAUCCUAAAACUAUUUUAAGUGGUCAAUUUUGUUUUUUUGUAUGUGUGUGUGUUUUUUUUAUGAACACUUCUGCCAUUGGAAGAAUGGAAACUUUCAAGUUAUGAGUAUUGUUUAUUUUGUUCCAGAGAAA